rnacentral:rRNA from 1 species
GUCUACGGCCAUGCCAUCCUGAACAAGCCCGUUGUCUGAUCUUGGAAGCAAGCAGGGGUGGGCCUGGCUAGUACUUGGAUGGGAGACCACCUAGGAAGACCAUGUCUAUAGGCA